rnacentral:misc_RNA from 1 species
AAACGAUAAAGAUAAAUAAUGAAAAGUAUAAAACGGACACAACGCUGAGCAACUUCUUCCUUGCUUAUUUACCUUCCUUAUUUAUUUAAUAACAAAAUGUCUCGAAAUGGAUAUCAUAACUAUUUCCAACCUUUGUUCUCGACGUAUGUGAAUUUUAAACUCGGAAGUUGUGUUUCACCUAAAAAAUGCCAUAAGAAAAAUCAUGGUCCUUAUCCCGAUUGAAACAGAACAGCUGAUCUGUAACGAUACUUUUGUUCGCCACUGCACAUGAAUACGGUUGUUUCACCACGUUCGCUUCUAUCGAUCUUUGUAUGAUUUAUGUUAGAAUGGUUCUCC